GAUUCUGGGUAAAAUUUAUAAAUAUGCUUAACAUAAGCCACAAAUUUUUACUUCUUCUUUAACGACUCAUUCUUACACAUAUGCAUGUUAAUAAAUCAUAGAAAAUGAUCGAAUCCUUGUUCAAUUGUUUGUUAAACAUUGAGUAUUAUAACAGAGCUUCAAUAAAAAAAUACACCCACUAUUCAACAAAAUGCGAGAGUGGGAGAGGAUAAAAAUAUGUAGUGUUAAAUAAUCAAAGUCGUAAUCAAUAUGAAUUAGUUCAAAAGGCCACAACCUUGUGAGAUACAAACACACAGAUGUACACAUACAUGACCACAAGGCAAUUAAUUUCAUACCCCCAGAAUUCUCAUUGACCAUACAGACACAAAAGAAAAAAUUGU
rnacentral:lncRNA from 1 species